rnacentral:rRNA from 1 species
UAGCUUUAAGAAAAUUAUUUAAGGUUUUACCUGCCCAGUGAAAAUUUUAACGGCCGCAGUACUUUGACUGUGCUAAGGUAGCAUAAUAAAUUGGCUUUUAAUUAAAGUCGGGUAUGAAAGGGAUCACGGAAAGUAACUGUCUCAAGUAUAUAUAAUUUUAAUUUAAUUAAUGGGUGAAAAUUCCCAUAGUAAUUUACAUUAGACGAGAAGACCCUAAGAGUUAUAAUUAAGAUGAAUUUAUUUUCAUGUAUCAUUUUUGUUGGGGCAACAUAGACUGGAUUAAACCGUCAUAAAUUAAUUUUACAUAACAGUUAUAUUUAAAAAGAAAUAAACUACCUUAGGGAUAACAGCAUAAUUAAUUUUUAGAUUGUGACCUCGAUGUUGGAUUAAGGACUUUGUUUACUAGCCGUAAACCAAGAUAGUUCUGUUCGAACUGUAAUACCUU